CGGUGGACUUCAUUUCCCGAGUAAACCAUCGUCGAAAGACAUGCGGUGGCCAUCUGCAACUCGUAAAUAUACUUCCGCCUGCAGGGCUGCAGAAAGCUUGUCUGCAGAAGCAGGAAGUCCCCAGAUGGAGGCGCUGUUGACAUGAAGACAGUCAGACCUCAGAAGUAGAAACUGAAGGGACGGACCGGGAUUCGAACCCGGAAGCUCCGUGUUCCGAGCUUCGGACAAUACCUUUACGCCACCGUCGUGUUAGCGGUUGCGCGGCUGCAGAAGUGGCCUGAUGAUGAGACAACCCACGUAUAAGCGAAACAAAGACAAAGGGGGGUUCGAACCCCCAACCUCUGCGUCCGUAGGCAAAGACAAUACCGUUGCGCCACCUUCUCUUCUGUGAAUCGGCCGGCUCUUCUAUGGGUAGAAGAAGAUGACGCAACAGAACUAUUUCCCAAAAAAAAAA